rnacentral:rRNA from 1 species
AUGCGGAGGGUGCAAGCGUUAAUCGGAAUUACUGGGCGUAAAGCGUACGUAGGCGGUCCGUUAAGUUAGAUGUGAAAGCCCCGGGCUUAACCUGGGAACUGCAUUUAAAACUGGCGAACUAGAGUUGAGUAGAGGGGAGUGGAAUUUCAGGUGUAGCGGUGAAAUGCGUAGAGAUCUGAAGGAACACCAGUGGCGAAGGCGACUCCCUGGACUCGAACUGACGCUGAGGUACGAAAGCGUGGGUAGCAAACGGGAUUAGAAACCCCAGUAGUCC